CAGCAGCCGCGGUAAUACGAAGGGUGCAAGCGUUAAUCGGAAUUACUGGGCGUAAAGCGUGCGUAGGCGGUUUGUUAAGUCUGCUGUGAAAUCCCCGGGCUCAACCUGGGAAUGGCAGUGGAUACUGGCAAGCUAGAGUGUGUCAGAGGAUGGUGGAAUUCCCGGUGUAGCGGUGAAAUGCGUAGAGAUCGGGAGGAACAUCAGUGGCGAAGGCGGCCAUCUGGGACAACACUGACGCUGAGGCACGAAAGCGUGGGGAGCAAACAGGAUUAGAUACCCCGGUAGUCCCUGUCUCUUAUAC
rnacentral:rRNA from 1 species